AUUGAACGCUGGCGGCAGGCCUAACACAUGCAAGUCGAAAGAGUGGCGGCCGGGUGAGUAAUGUAUGGGACACUGCCUGAUGGAGGGGGAUAAGUACUGGAAACGGUAGCUAAAACCGCAUAACAUAGGAUGUGCCCAGUUGGGAUUAUGUAGUAGGUGGGGUAAAGGCUCACCUAGGCGACGAUCCCUAGCUGGUCGGAGAGGAUGACCAGCCACACUGUAACGUAGACACUGUCCAGACUCCUACGGGAGGCAGCAGUGGGGAGUAUUGCACAAUGGGCGCAAUCCUGAUGCAGCCAUGCCUCGUGUAUGAAGAAGGCCUUCGGGUUGUAAAGUACUUUCAGCGGGGAGGCGUUACCCGCAGAAGAAGCACCGGCUAACUCCGUGCCAGCAGCCGCGGUAAUUC
rnacentral:rRNA from 1 species